GUGCUGUUGGUGUAGGAGUAACACACAAUCUGAUCCUAAGUGAAGUCUAGGUAAUCUCAGGUUGAGUCUUGGGUUCGAAUCCCAGACGGCGCA